GAUGAACGCUAGCGACAGGCUUAACACAUGCAAGUCGAGGGGCAGCACAGGUAGCAAUACCGGGUGGCGACCGGCGCACGGGUGAGUAACGCGUAUGCAACUUACCUAUCAGAGGGGGAUAACCCGGCGAAAGUCGGACUAAUACCGCAUGAAGCAGGGGUCCCGCAUGGGGAUAUUUGCUAAAGAUUCAUCGCUGAUAGAUAGGCAUGCGUUCCAUUAGGCAGUUGGCGGGGUAACGGCCCACCAAACCGACGAUGGAUAGGGGUUCUGAGAGGAAGGUCCCCCACAUUGGUACUGAGACACGGACCAAACUCCUACGGGAGGCAGCAGUGAGGAAUAGUGGUCAAUGGCCGAGAGGCUGAACCAGCCAAGUCGCGUGAGGGAUGAAGGUUCUAUGGAUCGUAAACCUCUUUUAUAAGGGAAUAAAGUGCGGGACGUGUCCCGUUUUGUAUGUACCUUAUGAAUAAGGAUCGGCUAACUCCG
rnacentral:rRNA from 1 species